rnacentral:rRNA from 1 species
GCUCAGUAACACGUGGAUAACAUGCCCUGAAGUGGAGGAUAAUCUCGGGAAAUUGAGGAUAAUACUCCAUAGAUCAUAGGAUCUGGAAUGACUUAUGGUCGAAAGUUCCGGCGCUUCAGGAUUGGUCUGCGGCCUAUCAGGUCGUAGUGGGUGUAACGGACCCACUAGCCGACGACGGGUAUGGGCCUUGAGAGAGGGAGCCCAGAGUUGGAUUCUGAGACACGAAUCCAGGCCCUACGGGGCGCAGCAGUCGCGAAAACUUCACACUGGGGGCAACCCCGAUGAGGGAAUUCCUAGUGCCAGGGCCUCUGGUCCUGGCUUUUCUCCGGCGUAGACGACCGGAGGAAUAAGGGCUGGGUAAGACGGGUGCCAGCCGCCGCGGUAAUACCUGCAGCCCGAGUGGUGGUCGAUUUUAUUGAGUCUAAAACGUUCGUAGCCGGCCCGGUAAAUCCCUGGGUAAAUCGGGAAGCUCAACUUCCCGAAUUCCGGGGAGACUGCCGGGCUUGGGACCGGGAGAGGCUAGAGGUACUUCUGGGGUAGGGGUAAAAUCCUGUAAUCCUGGAAGGACCACCGGUGGCGAAGGCGUCUAGCUAGAACGGAUCCGACGGUGAGGGACGAAGCCCUGGGUCGCAAACGGGAUUAGAUACCCCGGUAGUCCAGGGUGUAAACGCUGCAGACUUGGUGUUGGGGGCCCUUCGGGGGCGUCCAGUGCCGGAGAGAAGUUGUUAAGUCUGCUACUUGGGGAGUACGUCCGCAAGGAUGAAACUUAAAGGAAUUGGCGGGGGAGCACAAUCUCCAAGGUC